CCUCAAGGUCCGUGGUUUAACUUCUCAGCCCAGAUACCCUGUGAUGCUGCUCCUACACCACCUCCUGCAGUGUCUGAGGACCAACCUACUCCCUCCCUCCAGCUGCCUGCCUCCUCUAAACCAAUGAAUACACCAGGUGCUGCCAAUCCUUGUUCUCCAGUGCAGCUUUCUUUCACCCACUUACCUGGAGGGGGCCCUAAGAGGCUAUCUGGGGACUCUGAAGAAAUACCACAGAGUCCCACAGGGCUGGGACAACCAAAACGGAGAGGGAGACCUCCUAGCAAGUUCUUCAAGCAGGUGGAGCAACAUUACUUAACCCAGCUGACAGCCCAGCCUAUCCCCCCUGGUGAGCAAGCUUGGCUAGGACGGGAUAUGUGCUCAGGCUGGUGGUGGAUCCGAGAUCCUGAGACACUGGAUGUCCUGCUCAAGGCGCUGCAUCCCCGAGGCAUCCGGGAGAAGGCGCUUCACAAACAUCUUAGUAAGCACAAGGACUUUUUGCAGGAGGUUUGUUUGCAGCCCUUAACUGGUAAGUAAGACCUCGACCCCAACCUGGUCUAGAGGAGCUGCUGUGCACAGGCCUUUAUGGACUACUCUCUUCCUAGACCCCAUCUUUGAGCCCAGUCAGCUGCCUGCCUUGGAAGAAGGAAUUAUGAGUUGGUCCCCCAAA
rnacentral:lncRNA from 1 species